UACGUAGGGUGCGAGCGUUUAAUCGGAAUUACUGGGCGUAAAGCGUGCGCAGGCGGUUUUGUAAGACAGGCGUGAAAUCCCCGAGCUUAACUUGGGAAUGGCGCUUGUGACUGCAAGGCUAGAGUAUGUCAGAGGGGGGUAGAAUUCCACGUGUAGCAGUGAAAUGCGUAGAGAUGUGGAGGAAUACCGAUGGCGAAGGCAGCCCCCUGGGACGUCACUGACGCUCAUGCACGAAAGCGUGGGGAGCAAACAGG
rnacentral:rRNA from 1 species